rnacentral:rRNA from 1 species
UACGGAGGAUGCGAGCGUUAUCCGGAUUUAUUGGGUUAAAGGGUGCGUAGGCGGAUUUUUAAGUCAGCGGUAAAAUGUCCGGGCUCAACCCGGGCCGGCCGUUGAAACUGGGGAUCUUGAGUGGGCGAGAAGUAUGCGGAAUGCGUGGUGUAGCGGUGAAAUGCAUAGAUAUCACGCAGAACUCCGAUUGCGAAGGCAGCAUACCGGCGCCCGACUGACGCUGAGGCACGGAAAGCGUGGGGAUCGAACAGG